CUACUUGUGUUUCACUUAUUUAUGUGUUCCGUUUUACUUACACACCUUCACGUUUCCCUUACCAUUAUCCUAAAUCCUAAUAUUUUUUUUCUUCUUUCUACGAGUAUCAGCGGACAGCGGCGCACCUUAAAACCCUAACCUUCUUCUUCUUCUUCCUACCGAACAACGUGCCUCCACACCGUCUACUACACCAGCGCGCCUCUGUUCUGCACUAGCGCCUUCGUUUUGCACUAGUGACACACCCUCUGCAAUUUCAUUCCUCAAUCUCCACUAGCAGCGCACCCACACCACCAACGAAAUGGAACCAAUCCCACAAUUGACCGAAGAUAAUUUAGAUGUUGAAUCUGAUUAGAGGUAAUUCAAAUCUGGGAUACUAGUCAAGAAAGGUCACACUUUGUCAUUAAUUAUUCUCUUUUUUGAUAUAAGUGUGAUUAAGGAUUCAAUUUGGUGUUCAUGGGUUGUCUUGAUUUUGCAAUUGAAUGGUGGAAGAUGCUGAAAUAUGAUCUUUUUCUUGGAUUUGGAUAACUGGAUUGUUGUUUUUGAUCUUGAUGAUAAGAUUACUAAUCAACUUAAUAAGGAUUGAUUGUGUCAUGUAGUAUAUAAUUAUAUAUAUGUUGCUGGUUAGGGGAGAUUUUCUGGAAAAAAUUAUUGUAGGGGAGAUUUGCAAAAAUUUAUGUUUGAUUAGUAUUUAAAGGUGUUUAUAUGACAUGAUUUGUUGUUCUAGUCUGAGUUAUUCUAGGAAGCAUGAAUGAUUUUGGAUUUGAAUUUGGAUUA